rnacentral:lncRNA from 1 species
AGAAUUUAAACCAAAGCUGGUUUACAGUACAGUAAAAAGAAUCCAGUUUCCACACCCAGAGAGCUGUAGUAUGUCCACCACAUACAGUGUGAUAAAGCAGAUCAACUAGAAAACAUUUUGAGAGUCUCAGUAUGUUUCAGUCACAGCUAUGACUUCGCUCUUCAGCUAAGCACACUGAAAGGUAAUUAUAGGUUCAUUUUUUGCAAAGUAAUCGAGUAGCAGAGUGACUACAUGUUUUGCCUCAUAUUUUAUUCUCUGCAGGCAUAGAUACUUUUUUAAACAAUGAAAACUAGUUGAUGAUGUAAAUAG